AGAAUUCAUCACUGGUCCAUGAUUUACAUCAAGGGAACAGACAAACAAACAAACAAAUGGAACUCUCUCAACCGUAUGCCUGCUCAAGUUUAGGAGACAGAUUGCUUUAUUGGAGAAGAAGCAGCAGUGCCAUUGGACUGUAAUUACACCAAAAUCAUGGCCUACUUUUUCACUGCUUGGACCUUUGAAAGUGUCUGUUCCUAAGCUAUUUAUCAUCAUCAUCUGUCAUCAAAACAAGAUCAUCGUCUGACACAAAGUGAGAAUCCAGUUGUAUUCUGCUCCUUCAUAAGUUUUCACGAGAAGAGAUUUCUC